UGAACGCUGGCGGUCUGCUUAACACAUGCAAGUCGAACGAACUCUUCGGAGUGAGUGGCGGACGGGUGAGUAACGCGUGAGAAUCUGGCUGUGGGUCGGGGACAACCACUGGAAACGGUGGCUAAUACCGGAUGAGCCGAAAGGUAAAAGAUUUAUUGCCCACAGAUGAGCUCGCGUCUGAUUAGCUAGUUGGUAAGGUAAAAGCGUACCAAGGCGACGAUCAGUAGCUGGUCUGAGAGGAUGAGCAGCCACACUGGGACUGAGACACGGCCCAGACUCCUACGGGAGGCAGCAGUGGGGAAUUUUCCGCAAUGGGCGAAAGCCUGACGGAGCAAGACCGCGUGGGGGAGGAAGGUUUUUGGAUCGUAAACCCCUUUUGUCAAGGAAGAAGUUCUGACGGUACUUGACGAAUAAGCCUCGGCUAACUCCGUGCCAGCAGCCGCGGUAAUACGGAGGAGGCAAGCGUUAUCCGGAAUGAUUGGGCGUAAAGCGUCUGUAGGUGGCCAGCUAAGUCUGCUGUUAAAGAUCACAGCUCAACUGUGGGAAGGCAGUGGAAACUGGCAAGCUAGAGGCUGGUAGGGGUAAAGGGAAUUCCCGGUGUAGCGGUGAAAUGCGUA
rnacentral:rRNA from 1 species